UUUUUCCAUCAGACGGAUUGCUGAAUAUUAUCCUUUUUUAUUUGUGUAUGGAAGAUUAAUGAUUUGCAGAGUAAAGUGGUAGAGAGCAAUUUCAAAGCUUUACUCCCUCUGAUGAGGCUGCUGUAGUUUUACCACACACACACACACACACACACACACACACACACACACACACACACACACACACACACGCACACGCACACACGCACACACACACACGGUUCUCUCUCUAUCCUUGUGAGAUGUCAGACCUGGACACGGAAUCUCAAAGCACAUGAGUAGACGACUGAGUGUGUGAUCUGACAGGGUUAAAGGGCAUCAGUGACCCAGCAUGCCCCUGUGCGCCGUCUUCCCUCAGCUCGGUAUCAUGCUGGAACCAACAGAGACAGAAGAUGACAGCGGCGUCAGACUUAAGCAGGUUUGACACAACACCGUAUCUCUUAACUCAAGGCCAGAGGAAAUGGUGUGGACGGCUGGUCUCACUGACUCAGUGUCUCUCAUCAGCUCGUCCGUCUGCCUUUGUAAGUGUGUGUGUGCUGGACUAGACAUUUCAGUGGCAGGUGUGUAAGCAGUGUAUACAUACACACACACACACACACACACACACACACACACACACACACACACACACACACACACACACACACACACACACACACACACACACACCUGAGGGCAUGUGUACAGUGUGUGUCUUUUGUUAGAAGGUGUUUUCAGAGUUCCAUCCCUUCUCACCUCAGCAUCAGUGUCAUUGUAACCGGCUCCAUGAAACCUGAGCUGAUGGUCAG